AACCCCUGGCAGUGGGCAAAGAGACACCUUGUUGGUGGUGUUGCUUGUAUAUCAGUCAGGUACAGAGUAAGUGGCAGUCCUUUGUUGGUCCUAGCUUUGUGCCUAGCUUGGUGGCUAAAGCUGCUUAUGUGUAGGAUACAUAA